UACAGAGACUGCAAGCGUUAUUCGGAUUCACUGGGCGUAAAGGGUGCGCAGGUGGCCAAGUGUGUUAGGCGUGAAAGCCCGGGGCUUAACCCCGGAAUUGCACCUAAAACUACUUGGCUAGAGCAUUGGAGAGGGGAGCAGAAUUCAUGGUGUAGCAGUGAAGUGCGUAGAUAUCAUGAGGAAUACCAGAGGCGAAGGCGGCUCCCUGGACAAUAGCUGACACUCAGGCACGAAAGCGUGGGGAGCAAAAGGG
rnacentral:rRNA from 1 species